rnacentral:rRNA from 1 species
GUGCCAGCCGCCGCGGUAAUACGAAGGUCCCGAGCGUUGUUCGGAAUCACUGGGCGUAAAGGGAGCGUAGGCGGCGUGGUAAGUCAGAUGUGAAAUCCCGGGGCUCAACCCCGGAACUGCAUCCGAUACUGCCGUGCUUAGAGGAUUGGAGAGGUAGCUGGAAUUCUUGGUGUAGCAGUGAAAUGCGUGGAUAUCAAGAGGAACACUCGUGGCGAAAGCGAGCUACUGGACAACUCCUGACGCUGAGGCUCGAAGGCCAGGGUAGCGAAAGGGAUUAGAAACCCGGGUAGUCC